GACGAACGCUGGCGGCGUGCUUAACACAUGCAAGUCGAACGGAAAGGCCCUGCUUUUGUGGGGUGCUCGAGUGGCGAACAGGUGAGUAACACGUGAGUAACCUGCCCUUGACUUUGGGAUAACUUCAGGAAACUGGGGCUAAUACCGGAUAGGAGCUCCUGCUGCAUGGUGGGGGUUGGAAAGUUUCGGCGGUUGGGGAUGGACUCGCGGCUUAUCAGCUUGUUGGUGGGGUAGUGGCUUACCAAGGCUUUGACGGGUAGCCGGCCUGAGAGGGUGACCGGCCACAUUGGGACUGAGAUACGGCCCAGACUCCUACGGGAGGCAGCAGUGGGGAAUAUUGCACAAUGGGCGGAAGCCUGAUGCAGCAACGCCGCGUGCGGGAUGACGGCCUUCGGGGUGUAAACCGCUUUCGCCUGUGACGAAGCGUGAGUGACGGUAAUGGGUAAAGAAGCACCGGCUAACUACGUG
rnacentral:rRNA from 1 species